AAACUCACACAUCUUACAAGAUCUAUAGACUUGUACGCUUCAUUGCACUUUAGCUGGAUCCAACUCUACGGGGAAGCUUCUAGCCCAUAUAAAUAGUUUCCUGGUUUGUAACUUCUUAAAGAGACAUUAUGUCUCUCCUAAUCAUGUCGGUGUAUGCCGUAAUGUCAAUCUAUUUAUAUAGAUUAUUAUUCGCAUCAUGAAUUUAAUCAUAUAUCUAAUUUUGAUUAUAUAUACAAGGCAUCAUUAGAAUAGAAAGUUUGUUUAAUAGAACAUCAAGUGUGACUUGAUCGCGAGAUCCUAUUAUACAUUAGAACAUUAUUCUUAAAGUAUAUGUAGUCAAAGUAUUAUUGUUAAUUAUUAGGACGAUAAUAAUACAUUAAGACUUUUAUGUGAUUAGACUGAUGACUACAUCUCAUGGGUCAUGGGUAUGAGAUUUCAAGUUGUCACAUAGAUAUAAAUAUUGAGAAUAAUAUUUAUACUAGAUUGACCCACCAUCAAAAUGCUACAUAAUUGUUGUGUAAGUAUCAUUAGUGAUUCUCAUGUGACCAUAGUGAGCAGUUCUUCGACUUGAAGUCAUUGCGAUUCCUACCAGAGGAGUUGUAGUCUUUAAGACCAUUAAAUGUUGUUUAUAGCAAGACAAUAAUAAAAGUGUUUAUUAAGCCUAUAAUAAACCAUGUGGAGGGUUGUGUGUGAUGUAGAUAAAAUUUGUCUCUCCUACAUAACAAGAGUUAUGUCUUUGGCAUAUUGAUAGAAUGAGACCGUGGAAAUACAUAGUCAUGCUAGAAUGGCUCAAUAUAUGAUAUUGGGUCAUUGGUAUUUGUGUGUCUACUUUGAGAUCGAUAAAUAGGUAAUUGGACUUUACAAAUAUGACACACAUUGUGGCUUGCGUUUAAUUAGAUACUUAGACAAACAGUGAAGUGCCGAGUGUUGGUGUCCCUCCAUUCGAUGGAGUCUAG
rnacentral:lncRNA from 1 species